ensembl:lncRNA
GAGAUUUUGCUUGAAGGAUGAUGAUGAAGCAAUGAAAGAGUCCCAUAGAUUUGCACUGAAGGAGAGAUGUGAGCAAUCUGUUCAACUGAAGAUACCUCAAGAGCACUGUUAGAGACGCAUCCCACCCAGAACAUCAAAUCAGUUAACAGGAGCUCAGCUGCACGUGGUUCCAUGUGAUAAUCAGAAUCUGGGUCCAUUUUAGGGCGAUUCGUCACUUCAGUCAUAACACAUCAUCACCCUUUGGUCACAAAGAUCAUAAUCCAGAUCCUUCAUCAUUAUUCCUUACGAUAAUGAAGACAUCUGUCUGCUUUGUGUGGAGCAGAGUGGCGACAAACAUGCUCGCGUUUCACAUGCCG